AACGCCUAAUCUCUUAGAUUUACAUGGUAUGUCAAAAACUCGUAAAGUUUUUCGCGUUCCCCCCCUGGCUCCGCCCCCCCCCGGGGGGGCCCCGGGCGGGGCGGGGGCACGGGGGGAACGCGAAGAACCUUACCAGGUCUUGACAUACUAUGCAAAUCUAAGAGAUUAGACGUUCCCUUCGGGGACAUGGAUACAGGUGGUGCAUGGUUGUCGUCAGCUCGUGUCGUGAGAUGUUGGGUUAAGUCCCGCAACGAGCGCAACCCUUAUUAUCAGUUGCCAGCAUUAAGUUGGGCACUCUGGUGAGACUGCCGGUGACAAACCGGAGGAAGGUGGGGAUGACGUCAAAUCAUCAUGCCCCUUAUGACCUGGGCUACACACGUGCUACAAUGGAUGGUACAACGAGUUGCGAACUCGCGAGAGUAAGCUAAUCUCUUAAAGCCAUUCUCAGUUCGGAUUGUAGGCUGCAACUCGCCUACAUGAAGUCGGAAUCGCUAGUAAUCGCGGAUCAGCAUGCCG
rnacentral:rRNA from 1 species